AGUGAACGCUGGCGGUAGGCCUAACACAUGCAAGUCGAACGGCAGCACAGUAAGAGCUUGCUCUUACGGGUGGCGAGUGGCGGACGGGUGAGGAAUACAUCGGAAUCUACUUUUUCGUGGGGGAUAACGUAGGGAAACUUACGCUAAUACCGCAUACGACCUACGGGUGAAAGCAGGGGAUCUUCGGACCUUGCGCGAUUGAAUGAGCCGAUGUCGGAUUAGCUAGUUGGCGGGGUAAAGGCCCACCAAGGCGACGAUCCGUAGCUGGUCUGAGAGGAUGAUCGCCAACACUGGAACUGAGACAGGUCCCAGAUUCCAAGGGAGGGCAGCAGGGGGAAAUAUGGACAAUGGGCGCAAGCCUGAUCCAGCCAUACCGCGUGGGUGAAGAAGGCCUUCGGGUUGUAAAGCCCCUUUGUUGGGAAAGAAAAGCAGCAGGUUAAUACCCCGCUGUUCUGACGGUACCCAAAGAAUAAGCACCGGCUAACUUCGUG
rnacentral:rRNA from 1 species